GUGUCAGCAGCCGCGGUAAUACGUAGGCAGCGAGCGUUGUUCGGAGUUACUGGGCGUAAAGAGUAUGUAGGCGGUUGCGCAAGUUUGGUGUGAAAUCUCCCGGCUUAACUGGGAGGGUGCGCCGAAAACUGCGCGGCUAGAGUGCGGGAGAGGAGAGCGGAAUUCCUGGUGUAGCGGUGAAAUGCGUAGAUAUCAGGAGGAACACCGGCGGUGUAGACGGCUCUCUGGACCGCGACUGACGCUGAGAUACGAAAGCGUGGGGAGCAAACAGGAUUAGAUACCCUGGUAGUCCACGCCCUAAACGAUGCAGACUUGGUGUGGGCAGUUCAUUCUGUCCGUGCCGGAGCUAACGCGUUAAGUCUGCCGCCUGGGGAGUACGGUCGCAAGGCUGAA
rnacentral:rRNA from 1 species